rnacentral:rRNA from 1 species
UACAGAGGUCUCAAGCGUUUGUUCGGAUUCAUUGGGCGUAAAGGGCGCGUAGGUGGCGGGACAAGCGUGCGGUGAAAGCUCGGGGCUCAACCCCGAGUCGGCCGUGCGAACUGUUUUGCUUGAGCACUGUAGAGGCAGAUGGAAUUCCGGGUGUAGCGGUGGAAUGCGUAGAGAUCCGGAAGAACACCGGUGGCGAAGGGCGGUCUGCUGGGCAGUAGCUGACACUGAGGCGCGACAGCGUGGGGAGCAACAGG